CUACAGGGGUAUCUAAUCCUGUUUGCUCCCCUAGCUUUCGCACUUCAGCGUCAGUUACCGUCCAGUGAACUAUCUUCAUCAUCGGCAUUCCUGCACAUAUCUACGAAUUUCACCUCUACUCGUGCAGUUCCGUCCACCUCUCCAGUACUCUAGCCACAUAGUUUCCAGGGCAGGCUUGCGGUUGAGCCGCAAGUUUUCACCCCAGACUUAUCUGGCCGCCUAGAUGCCCUUUAUGCCCAAUAAUUCCGGAUAACGCUUGCGACAUACGUAUUACCGCGGCUGCUGGCAC
rnacentral:rRNA from 1 species